GCCUCCGUGGUGUAACGGUAGCACACUCGGCGCGUAUUCGAGAGGUCCAGGUUCGAGUCCCGGCGAGGGCA
rnacentral:tRNA from 1 species